UACGAAGGGUGCAAGCGUUACUCGGAAUUACGGGGCGUAAAGCGUGCGAAGGUGGGGAGUUAAGUCUGUCGUGAAAGCCCCGGGCUCAACCUGGGAAUGGCGAUGGAUACUGGCUCGCUAGAGUGCGGUAGAGGAGAGUGGAAUUCCCGGUGUAGCGGUGAAAUGCGCAGAUAUCGGGAAGAACACCAGUGGCGAAGGCGACUACCUGGCCCAUUCUUGACGCUGAGGCGCGAAAGCUAGGGGAGCGAACGGG
rnacentral:rRNA from 1 species